ensembl:lncRNA
AUGAUGGAUAGGAAAGGAUGGAAAGUUACAGGAACUCUACUUCCUGGAACGUUUGGUUUCUCAGCCUCCUCUCUGCCUCCUCCUCCUCUUUGCCCAGGAGCCAUCACGGGGGCAGAUACAGCUCUGACAAUGAAGCCUGGCUGUGGCCCAGGAGGAGCAGAGGAUGCUGGAGAGGGUGGAGUCCAUCUGCCACCCCCUCAGCACAGCCUGGAGUUGCCAGCAGCUACAUGGAGUAGUGCAGGUGUGUCUCGGCGGAGCUGCAGAGAGCACCGUUGCUGGCGAUCGCGCGCUCAGAGCGCCAAGAGGCAUGAGGUGUCUGUCAAGUCUAGAGGCAGGGGCAGAACCAGAGCUGGAGAACUUCUACGAGAAGGCCCAAAGGCAGAGAGGACUAUAUUGGAAUAGCUGGAUAGGGAUCAACACUCAGCCGAGUGUGUGAGAGUCCUGCAUUCACCUUCCCUCGUUUCCCCAAGUGCAGCCUCACAACUAUAGCAGGAAGAAAGCAAGAGUGCAUGAACACAACUGCAGCAGCAGACAUGAAGAAUUCAGGUUGUACUGCCAGCAUGUACCAAAUUCCCUCUGUGAUUUCCUGGACCAAGAGGAUUGUGAGCUCCAGGAGUAAAGAUUUAAUGAGGAAAAGGCAACAAAUGUGGCUUAUCCAUGGGGUUUUAGUGGUGAUGUUGAAUCAAAACAACGCAUUUUUCCAUUGCCCAUUUACAAACUGAAUACUGAUUAAAUGUGAAGGCACUGGAAGAGUUAAAAAAAAAAGAGAAAAUGAGGCCUUGAAACUUUAUUUCAGAAAGGGAUUUAAGGAUGCUGUGUAUGUAGCUUCUACAAAGGAAACUUAGGAAAACUUGUUCCCCUUUAUUAUUACCUAUCAGAAGAAAAAAAUGCCUGAUGGCAGAGAGCAUUUUAGAUUAGAAAGUGAAGACAUCACAGAGUAUCACAUUAGACAAACUUAGUCUAAAAUUACAGCGUGGUUUAUUUUGAUUGAGUCAAAUCUCUGCAUCUUAAAAUCUUUAAAUCAACAUUAAUUUUCUACAAGGCAUGUUCAAGAUAUGAAGGAAAGAAAAAAAUAAUUAUACGUUAGGGAGAAAAUUCUUGUUUUUCCAAUAGAAGUGUUAAUUUAGACCAGAAACUUAACAAAUACAUAUGAGAAUCACUUUCUCUGACCCAAAGACUUAGAAGUGUCAAAAGGGAAGACACAGGAAGAGAAAUACUAUUGCAGAUCUAUCAUGGGCAACCACAAUUUUCAUUGAAGAAUAGAACAAGCAUCAAUUAACUUUGCAUUUUUCUCAGCCAUUAUUAAUUGUUUGAUUUCCCGAGGGCACUAUCAUGGUAGAAACUGGUAUUGAGUGGAUCUGAAGAAGUAAGGGUAUGGGGAAGAUGUCAUAUGUGUAAGUGGCUUCCUCUAUCAGGAGGCCUUCAGGCUGUGUUUUUCAACCAAUCACCACAGCUUUGUUUAAAACAGGGUUGCUGACUGUUUGAAAUGCUGUCAACUUGGAGAUAAUCAGAGGCAUAGCCUCUGGAAAGUAGCACAUUGUGGGACUGUAAAAGGAAGCCCCUGCAGGGGAAAGUAGGAAUAGUGUACGUAGCAGCAUUAAAUUGGCAUCUAUUUGUCAAAAACAUCCUUUGCCACCUCAUUUCUCCAGCAAAAUAUUCCACUGCAAAAAUAAAACAAACCAAACCCCCGCCCCCCA